rnacentral:rRNA from 1 species
CAGUCGCCACGGUAAUACGAAGGGGGCUAGCGUUGCUCGGAAUCACUGGGCGUAAAGGGUGCGUAGGCGGGUCUUUAAGUCAGGGGUGAAAUCCUGGAGCUCAACUCCAGAACUGCCUUUGAUACUGAGGAUCUUGAGUUCGGGAGAGGUGAGUGGAACUGCGAGUGUAGAGGUGAAAUUCGUAGAUAUUCGCAAGAACACCAGUGGCGAAGGCGGCUCACUGGCCCGAUACUGACGCUGAGGCACGAAAGCGUGGGGAGCAAACAGGAUUAGAUACCCCUGUAGUCCCUGUCUCUUAUAC